ACUCCUACGGGAGGCAGCAGUAGGGAAUAUUGGUCAAUGGGCGAGAGCCUGAACCAGCCAUGCCGCGUGCAGGAAGACGGCCUUCUGGGUUGUAAACUGCUUUUAUCAGGGAACAAAAAAGGCCAUGCGUGGCAAAUUGCGUGUACCUGAAGAAUAAGGACCGGCUAACUCCGUGCCAGCAGCCGCGGUAAUACGGAGGGUCCAAGCGUUGUCCGGAUUUAUUGGGUUUAAAGGGUGCGUAGGCGGCCCUAUAAGUCAGUGGUGAAAUCCUUCAGCUCAACUGGAGAACUGCCAUUGAUACUGUAGGGCUUGAGUACAGACGAGGUAGGCGGAAUUUAUGGUGUAGCGGUGAAAUGCAUAGAUACCAUAAAGAACACCUAUUGCGAAGGCAGCUUACUAGACUGUAACUGACGCUGAGGCACGAAAGCGUGGGGAGCGAACAGGAUUAGAUACCCUGGUAGGCUCUGCU
rnacentral:rRNA from 1 species